UCAAAAUACCGAUUGAAGUCUUUAGCCAUGAAAUUGCUGCAGACUUAGUGCGGAACUCAGCAUACAACAGAUCAUAACACUGACACUGCAGAGUAUCAGAAACACCUGUGUCACCUAAAAUACAACACAAAUUACAGCUUCAAAAGCAAGCAAGGCAAUCACUUAGGAACACAACCCCCGGCAUUCCUAAACAUUGCAACACAGCAUUAUCCCCUCACGCAAGCUCGGAAAAAUCAUUCGCCAGAAGCCCUUGUACUCAUCGAACAUGACCAAACACUCAGAGCCUCACAGCAACCAUUCGAAACAGCUUACUAUCAGGCUCCAUGAGGAAAGACCACCAAGCUUCCAUAGGCUGCAAUGUGAGAACGGUGCCUUGCUUCUGGGAGAACUCCACUACACAGCUCCUUUGGAAAGAGCUGGAGGAUAUCAAACAUACCUGCUCAGCUCAGUUGGAACAGAGAGCAAAAACCAAAACGCCAGCAAGGGAACAAAGCAGUCUCGGUUGUAAGACAAACGUGCAGAUGCCAUCCACCACCAGGUUGGCUGAGCUAGAUUGGACAAAACCUCCAAAUUUUGAUAGAUAUGAAUGGGACUGUGGAAGUAAGCAGAGGUGGCUAUUGGGCAGGUUGCGAUGAGUUGGUUUUAUUUAGGAUUUUGGUCAUAUUAGGUUUUAGUUGAUUUCAAGUUUAGCUCUAUGUUUAUACGUUUCACAAAUUGAAUUUUCUUUCAUUUUGUUUUUGGUUAAGUGAAUAGUUUUAUUGAUUUGAUACAAGUUUGUUGAAAUUAGAAAACAGGGAUAUAACACAGUUUCUGUUCUCCAGUA